rnacentral:rRNA from 1 species
UACGGAGGGUGCGAGCGUUAAUCGGAAUUACUGGGCGUAAAGGGCGCGUAGGCGGUUCGAUAAGUCGGGUGUGAAAGCCCCAGGCUUAACCUGGGAAUUGCAUUCGAUACUGUCGGGCUAGAGUGUGGUAGAGGAAAGCGGAAUUCCCGGUGUAGCGGUGAAAUGCGUAGAUAUCGGGAGGAACAUCAGUGGCGAAGGCGGCUUUCUGGACCAACACUGACGCUGAGGCGCGAAAGCGUGGGGAGCAAACAGG